UGACUGGUGAAAAAUAAUGUUCAUCCAAUUCUUGAACCAAUGCAUGUAUAUAUCAUAAACUUAGUCCUCUGUGCACGAUUUUAUCAUUUUUUACGCAAAUCUAUCGUAUAAUCGUCAAUUUUUUUUCUAUUUGUCUGUUAUGAUUUAACAAAUAUGGCUACUCAUUAAAUGCCGUGUUUUGAAGCCGAAGUUUACCGAUUGUCACCUUAUAGUAAAUAAUCAACAAAAAGCAUGGGUAUUUAGCACGUGUUUAACAUAUACAAUCAGGUAAUUGUUUAUUUUAAUGACAGAUUCAUGCGUAUUGCUAUCACCGGAUUUUUACGAGGAGGGUCACGCUUACUUAGGUCACUAUGCAUACGGAAAAUAUGUCGGCGAAUUGCUUCCUGGCAGCAAGCAAUUAAAAAUAAGUAAACUUCUUGUAAAUGUGGACAAAUUAAAGAAUUUUCCUCAGAAAAAA
rnacentral:lncRNA from 1 species